UACAGAGGGUGCAAGCGUUAAUCGGAAUUACUGGGCGUAAAGCGUGCGUAGACGGUUGCGUAAGUCAGAUGUGAAAGCCCCGGGCUCAACCUGGGAAUUGCAUUUGAGACUGCGUAGCUAGGGUGCGGAAGAGGGAAGCGGAAUUUCCGGUGUAGCGGUGAAAUGCGUAGAUAUCGGAAGGAACACCAGUGGCGAAAGCGGCUUCCUGGUCCAGCACCGACGUCAGGCACGAAAGCGUGGGAGCAAACAGG
rnacentral:rRNA from 1 species